rnacentral:rRNA from 1 species
UAUUCCCCACUGCUGCCUCCCGUAGGAGUUUGGGCCGUGUCUCAGUCCCAAUGUGGCCGUACACCCUCUCGGGCCGGCUACUGAUCGUCGCCUUGGUGGGCCGUUACCUCACCAACUAGCUAAUCAGACGCGGGACCAUCUCGUACCACCGGAGUUUUUCACACUUUGUCAUGCGACAUCGUGCGCUUAUGCGGUAUUAACAGUCGUUUCCAACUGUUAUCCCCCAGUACGAGGCAGGUUUCCCACGCGUUACUCACCCGUCCGCCACUAGGUUAUUUCAUGUAGCAAGCUACUCGAAAUAACCCCGUUCGACUUGCAUGUGUUAAGCACGCCGCCAGCGUUCAUCCUGAGCCAAA